ACUGCGUACGUGUUAAGCGAGCGGAGUGUUUGUACGAACACGUUUUCAUAAACCAAACAGAGGAUCCCCAGAGCCAAGACAAGUCCAUGGAGUUUUCGCAGAAAAGAAACACCGCAAUCUUUGUCCUUUUACACUUCCAAAUCUAAAUAAAACUUUCCCAUUUUCUUCAAUCUCCAUCUUUAAUGAAUUGUUGAGUUUUGGCAAUUUCCAUGCACGAUAUGCAAAUUGGGUUUCUUCUGCUAUGUCCCAUUUUCAUAUAUUAAAGUGGCAACUUGGCACUAUCUUCUCUGGCUGCUGUAAUGGUGUAAAACUGGGGGGAAAUAUCCAGCUCACAUGCUCAAAUCUUACUGCCCAACACACAUACUCUCAGAGUGACAACAAAAAUCUGUCAUUCUUCUUGACCCUAGAUCCAACAAUCGGGCACGCAAAUUUCAGACACAGCCCAACAAAUGCAAAUUCACUGGAUCAUUAGCUGGGUUAGGCCCAACUAAUGUACGAACGUCAGGCCCAGUAAAAGCACAGCCCAACUAAUGUACGGACAUCAGGCCCAGUAAAAGCACAGCCCAACUAAUGUACGGACGUCAGGUCCAGUAAAGUCCAGCCCAACUAAUGUACGGACGUCAGGUCCAGUAAAGCCCAGCCCAACUAAUGUACGAACGUCAGGUCCAGUAAAGCCCAGCCCAACUAAUGUACGAACGUCAGGUCCAGUAAAGCCCAGCCCAAUAUCGCGUAUCCUUUUUUUGGGACACUAUUUUGCAUUAGGUAUUAAUAGAAAAUAAUCGGUUCAUAAUAUUAAAUCACCUUAAAACUAUUUUUUUUAAUCAUC